rnacentral:tRNA from 1 species
GCUGCUAUGGUGUAACUGGUACACACACUGCUCUUAUGAAGCAGUGCUGAUCAUCUCGGUUCGAAUCCGAGUAGCGGCA